UUUAACGUCUGACAUUAGAUAGAGUGGGCUGCAGUUUUGCUCCGCUAUGUGAUGGCUCUUUAUUGUAUUUAUAAUUAGCCAUUGGUGGUUUGGGUUUGAGGGGAUAGGAUCUAAAUUUUCUUGGCUUUUUCAGUGAGAGUUUGCGACACAGCUUUACAUCAAGCUUGAUUUAUUCAACAUAUUUUUUUUGACAAACAAAUUAUUGGAAUCUUGAUUUGUAUUUUGGCUUUUAUGUACUUGAUGUGUGCUCUUAUUUAGUGACACGACUACAUAUACAAGGACUUAAAAUGUGAAUGUAACCUCAACUUUUUUUCUCUUCGCUUUGUCCUUUAGUGAAUAAAAUAAAGAAAAAUUGGAGAGUGGUGAAGGAUAAACAUAGGUGCAGUUUCUUAUUUGACGAGUGUAGGCUGUUCAAUUAUAUGACAUUGUGUGAUUUUCGAGAAAUGUAUGGUUCUCCAUCAACCUAUAUGAUUCUUGUGUUUAGACUGAAAAACUAUACAUUUGUUAUGUUUUGGUUGAAGAAUUUGGUAGUAAGAAUAUAAAGAAGUAAAAGAACUGUAUUUUAAGUGUGCUACAUUAACUCACUGUUCUAAUUGCAUCAAGGUGGUCAUAGUCAUUUAUCGUGCUCUGUUUAGUUUGCAACUAGUACUAAGAUAGAAAAUGAAAAUAACUGGCCAUUAUUUGGUUAUAAUAUCUGGUUUGUGUUUGCUUAUUGAACUGUGCAAUGCUUGCAGGCAUUUGGGGAUAUAGCUGAUAAAUACAGAACCGAACCUCCCUUACCUAAAAUGCCUAACUCAAAUAUCACAAAUGCGAGAAAACAAAGUGUUGGAGAUGAAAGUGCCAAAUCACCACUCUCUUUUGGCCAACUUAAAUUUGAAUCAAAUAGUCCUACUUCAGAAUUUUCUCAGGGCAGUCUCAAUAUUUCACUACAGAGGGCAACUAAUACUGGCAUUUCCUCUACUGCAAAGAUUGUGAAAACUCUAUUUUUUGUCUCAAUAUUUUGUCCUCUAAGAAGGAACACCAAUUUAACAGUUAAUUAUCAAUGGGUAGGGUUAUGAUCCAAAUGGUCAAGUGCUAAAAAAGCCUAGCAGUGCUUUUAUUGCACCACCGGAAAUUCAACUUCAAAAGGGAAGCCCAAUUCUGACAAGAGAAAGGAAGAGAUCAAGCUAAAUCAGAUCAGAUUCUCUGUCAAUCUAACUCCUCGUCCAUUUUUGGGUGGCAAUGACAAGUCAAGACAGAUCAUUGAAACUCCUAGCAUGGCUCUUAGAACUUCUGUGGCCCAAAAACAUGCGAACGAUCCAGAGAGUAUGACAUGCCACAACCAAGAAAACGCAAAUCAGCUCAAGGAGAAAAGUUUUGCGUCCAAUAUUUUGGUUAAAGAGAAAGGAGAUGAGCCAAUGUCUCUCUUAGAAUUAUCGUUAAACUUCGAAAGAUGCUUCCAGACAAACAAUCAAAAUAAACAGUCCUAGAAAACUUGAGAGCUCAAUGGCUUAUUGCAAUCGAUGCCACAUUUGAUUAUGAAGAGAAAAGAAAACAGGUUAUGUUUGAAGACCAUGCAGAGAAAGCAUCUUGCUAUGGUGAUGUUGGGAUUACACUGGUCCUCAUCAAUGCGAUUGAGGGAGGCAGUUCCAUCUUGAGAGAGAGUCAAAUUGCAAUUUUACGUUGGUAUUAUUGAAAAUAGAUUUAGGCUAUGUACAGGUGAAUGGAAAAGGCAAAACGAUGAACGGAUCAAAUUGAGCAAAAAGAAAUUCAUAUUGGAUCACUUACUUGGUUUCUUUAAGAUGCCUGGUUACAAUUCGAUA